ACGCUCGACACCUACGAGAGGCAGCAGUGGGGAAUAUUGCACAAUGGGGGAAACCCUGAUGCAGCGACGCCGCGUGGAGGAAGAAGGUCUUCGGAUUGUAAACUCCUGUUGUUGGGGAAAAAGNGGAUGGUACCCAACAAGGAAGUGACGGCUAACUACGUGCCGANNCGCGGAGUAUCGNGCGGCGUGNGAGAG
rnacentral:rRNA from 1 species